rnacentral:misc_RNA from 1 species
GAUGAAGAACGUAGCGAAAUGCGAUAAGUAAUGUGAAUUGCAGAAUUCAGUGAAUCAUCGAAUCUUUGAACGCACCUUGCGCCUUUUGGUAUUCCGAAAGGCACACCUGUUUGAGCGUCAUGAAUACCUCAAUCUCCAUCUUUUCUUCGGAUUGAUGGGUGACUUGGAUGUUGAGCCCUGCUGGUAUGCUAUAUCAGCUGGCUUUAAACAUAUUAGCCGGCUCUGUACUGGAUCGGUUUGACUCGACGUGAUAAUAUUAUCGUUGAGGAUGCAUGUCUCAUGCAGCCGGAAAGUAUCAAAGCAGCUUCUAGCUUGCCUUUAGUGCACUUUUACAUUUUAGACCUCAGAUCAGGUGGGACUACCCGCUGAACUUAAGCAUAUCAAUAAGCGGAGGA